GACGAACGCUGGCGGCGUGCUUAACACAUGCAAGUCGAACGAUGAAGCUGGAGCUUGCUCUGGUGGAUUAGUGGCGAACGGGUGAGUAACACGUGAGUAACCUGCCCUGGACCCUGGGAUAACCCCGAGAAAUCGGAGCUAAUACCGGAUAGGACCUCGGAUCGCAUGAUCUGGGGUGGAAAGUUUUUCGGUCUGGGAUGGACUCGCGGCCUAUCAGCUUGUUGGUGAGGUAAUGGCUCACCAAGGCGUCGACGGGUAGCCGGCCUGAGAGGGUGACCGGCCACACUGGGACUGAGACACGGCCCAGACUCCUACGGGAGGCAGCAGUGGGGAAUAUUGCACAAUGGGCGCAAGCCUGAUGCAGCAACGCCGCGUGCGGGAUGACGGCCUUCGGGUUGUAAACCGCUUUUAGUAAGGAAGAAGCCGCAAGGUGACGGUACUUGCAGAAAAAGGACCGGCUAACUACGUGCCAGCCGCCGCCGUAA
rnacentral:rRNA from 1 species